UACAGAGGUCUCAAGCGUUGUUCGGAUUCAUUGGGCGUAAAGGGUGCGUAGGUGGCGCCGUAAGUCAGGUGUGAAAUCUCGGGGCUUAACUCCGAAACUGCAUUCGAUACUGCGGUGCUUGAGGACUGGAGAGGGGACUGGAAUUCAUGGUGUAGCAGUGAAAUGCGUAGAGAUCAUGAGGAAGACCAGUGGCGAAGGCGGGUCUCUGGACAGUUCCUGACACUGAGACACGAAGGCCAGGGGAGCAAACGGG
rnacentral:rRNA from 1 species